rfam:Rattus norvegicus chromosome 15, whole genome shotgun sequence.
GCUGGAGCCAAGACUAUUUAACACAAUAAGGACUCCUUUUUCUCUUUUGGAUGAUAUUUAAUAAAAAAUGACACUCAGAAAAUAUUUUUCAUAAAGGGAUAGUAAUAUUCAU